CCAUUUUUUAAUGUGUACCUGGCACAUUUAAACUCCCGAAAACCUACACAUCGACACAGCUGACUCCUACUCAAACAGCCUAUUCUCUCUCUCUCUUCCCUCUUAUUACGUUUUCUCUCCCUCUCUCUCCCUCCCUCGCUCCUCAUCCCUGUGUUUGAGUUUCCCCUGCUCAAACCCUCGCUCGCUACUCUCUCUUCCCUCGCUCGCGUUUAAACCCCUCGUCUUCUCUGCUCACUGCUCUCUCUUGCCUCGCUUGUGCUCAAACCCCUCGGCUUCCCUCGCUCGCACUCAAAACCUCGGCUUCCCUGCUCGCUGCUCUCUCUUGCCUCCCUCGCGCUCAAACCCUCGUCUUCCCUGCUCGCUGCUCAAACACCUCGUCUUCCCCUGCUCAAACCCUGCGUUCGCGCUCUCUGCCUCUCGCUCCAUUGCCUCUGCUCGCUAAGAUCUCUAAAGUUUGCAGUUUCACAUUGGGUAAGUAAAAAAACUGAGAUGGAUCCCACGAAUUCAGUCGGUGUGACAUCUAGCACAUGCCCAAAUGUAGGCACAUUGAUGAAAUCUUGGAGGAUGGUUGUGGCUCACCAAACAUUGGCCAAGAAAUAGAACAACCAUGCGUAGGAAUGAUGUUUGAAUCACAGGAUGAUGCAUAUGAGUUCUGUAAGUCUUAUGCAUUGACCAAAGGUUUUGGUAUUCGCAGGCGGACUACUCAUAACAAGAAAGGCAUGUAUUGAAGAUUUUUAUGGUGAAAGAUGUGUUUGAAAUAUCUUUCACAAUAUAUAAUGAGGCGUUGGACCAAGGAUGUAAAGAAGGGAGUUUUUAUUGAUGACAUUGGGGAAUGGAUUCAAGUAACAUUUGAACUACCACGCUCCAUUAGAUAUAAUGAGGCUAUGUAGGCAAGUCAAUCUCUUGCCGAGCGUGCUUUACAAAGUGUAGAGGGUCAGGAGUUUGUAAUGUCCAUAAUACAAAAUGGAAUUCGUCAAUUUGAUGAAAAGUUUGUGUGCAAGAGAGGUCCACAGGAUAAUGUCAUGAGCCAUGUCAAUGAAGAUGACAAUUAUGCUCGUUGUAGUAACACAUCAAGUGGAAGUAACCAUUGCCGCAAUGUCCUUGAACCUGCACGAGUACGAACAAAGGGAUGAACAACCACUAAAAGAAUGAAAGCUCGUUCUGAGCGAUGAAAUCCUAAGACUAAAAAAAGGAAAUGCACAGUUUGCAAUGGCAGUGGACAUGAUAAAAGGAACUGCGCGUCGUUCGUUUGUGAUAGGGCUAAAGACAAAUCACGUUGUAUGCUUCGAACCCAUAAGGAGGCAGCUAAUGUGCGUUGAUGACAAGGAUGACAAAUUCAUAUGGAACAACUUCAAAGGAGGGGCUAUGUUGCUGUUUUUUUGUUUUUUUUAAAAAAGUUUGUUGUUAAACUAUUGGCAUUAUUGAUGUAGGUUGUAUGACAUUCACUCAAAAAAAAGAUGUAGGUUGUAUGCCAUUGUACUCUUUUCACUAAACUUUAUAUAAACAGUUUUGUUAUUGAAUGGACUACCUUGUAUGUAA